rnacentral:rRNA from 1 species
CACGGCCCAGACUCCUGCGGGAGGCAGCAGUGGGGAAUAUUGCACAAUGGGCGAAAGCCUGAUGCAGCGACGCCGCGUGAGGGAUGACGGCCUUCGGGUUGUAAACCUCUUUCAGCAGGGACCAAGCGUGAGUGAGUGUACCUGCAGAAGAAGCACCGGCUAACUACGUGCCAGCAGCCGCGGUAAUACGUAGGGUGCGAGCGUUGUCCGGAUUUAUUGGGCGUAAAGGGCUCGUAGGCGGCCUGUCGCGUCGGGAGUGAAAGCCCACUGCUUAACGGUGGGUCUGCUUUCGGUACGGGCGGGCUGGAGUAUGGCAGGGGAGACUGGAAUUCCUGGUGUAGCGGUGGAAUGCGCAGAUAUCAGGAGGAACACCGGUGGCGAAGGCGGGUCUCUGGGCCAUUACUGACGCUGAGGAGCGAAAGCGUGGGGAGCGAACAGGAUUAGAUACCCUGGUAGUCCACGCCGUAAACGUUGGGCGCUAGGUGUGGGGACUGUUUCCACGGUCUCCGUGCCGGAGCUAACGCAUUAAGCGCCCCGCCUGGGGAGUACGGCCGCAAGGCUAAAACUCAAAGGAAUUGACGGGGGCCCGCACAAGCGGCGGAGC